AUGCUGCAUUUGCUGCUGAUCUGGAUCUCGCAUUUACAGCCCGAGUGAGACAAUUGCUGCUACAGCCCCUGUCACUUUUAUGUCCCCGGCACGGUUUGAUACGUUACCUUUGAUAUUCUGAUUUAAUUCUUUUACAUAGAUUAGAGACCAGACAAGCUCCUAACCUGACCGAGGCACUAGGCUGUAUUGACUGCCAAUCUCUAAGUCACUCGGUGAAUGCUGUUUGCAGACUCUUAUCAGUUCAUUAAAGUUUGUUAUCAUUUAUGCAGUGGCUCUGUACCUUGCUGGUAAUCUCCAGUGUAGGAUCUUAUCAAACACUCUUUUGAAAGUCUAGGCGUAUUUUAUACCAUCCAUAGUAUUUUUUUUUUUGUCUACCUUGGCAGGGAUAACUUUGAAAAAUUCCAACAAAUUAUUUGAGCAAGAUUUCCUGCUCAUAAAUCCAGGAUGUUUGCUAUCCCUCCCAGAUUUCUGUUCCCAUCUGCAGAUCUUUCUGUUACAAUGAUGGACCUGGCAAUUUCUGGGAAAUACAACUACUAAUUUUAUCUUGUCUUGGCCUUGAGUGAAAUCCUAUACUUGAAAAAUGUCCAGGAUUUCUGUGCUACUCAGCUCUCUGGAGUCCAUCAGCAGCACCUUCACUGACUGAGCUUGGAACCAACAGU
ensembl:lncRNA